CUGUGAGCUCGAUGAGUAGGGCGGGACACGUGGUAUCCUGUCUGAAUAUGGGGGGACCAUCCUCCAAGGCUAAAUACUCCUGACUGACCGAUAGUGAACCAGUACCGUGAGGGAAAGGCGAAAAGAACCCCGGCGAGGGGAGUGAAAAAGAACCUGAAACCGUGUACGUACAAGCAGUGGGAGCACGCUUAGGCGUGUGACUGCGUACCUUUUGUAUAAUGGGUCAGCGACUUAUAUUCUGUAGCAAGGUUAACCGAAUAGGGGAGCCGAAGGGAAACCGAGUCUUAACUGGGCGUUAAGUUGCAGGGUAUAGACCCGAAACCCGGUGAUCUAGCCAUGGGCAGGUUGAAGGUUGGGUAACACUAACUGGAGGACCGAACCGACUAAUGUUGAAAAAUUAGCGGAUGACUUGUGGCUGGGGGUGAAAGGCCAAUCAAACCGGGAGAUAGCUGGUUCUCCCCGAAAGCUAUUUAGGUAGCGCCUCGUGAAUUCAUCUCCGGGGGUAGAGCACUGUUUCGGCAAGGGGGUCAUCCCGACUUACCAACCCGAUGCAAACUGCGAAUACCGGAGAAUGUUAUCACGGGAGACACACGGCGGGUGCUAACGUCCGUCGUGAAGAGGGAAACAACCCAGACCGCCAGCUAAGGUCCCAAAGUCAUGGUUAAGUGGGAAACGAUGUGGGAAGGCCCAGACAGCCAGGAUGUUGGCUUAGAAGCAGCCAUCAUUUAAAGAAAGCGUAAUAGCUCACUGGUCGAGUCGGCCUGCGCGGAAGAUGUAACGGGGCUAAACCAUGCACCGAAGCUGCGGCAGCGACGCUGAUGCGUUGUUGGGUAGGGGAGCGUUCUGUAAGCCUGCGAAGGUGUGCUGUGAGGCAUGCUGGAGGUAUCAGAAGUGCGAAUGCUGACAUAAGUAACGAUAAAGCGGGUGAAAAGCCCGCUCGCCGGAAGACCAAGGGUUCCUGUCCAACGUUAAUCGGGGCAGGGUGAGUCGACCCCUAAGGCGAGGCCGAAAGGCGUAGUCGAUGGGAAACAGGUUAAUAUUCCUGUACUUGGUGUUACUGCGAAGGGGGGACGGAGAAGGCUAUGUUGGCCGGGCGACGGUUGUCCCGGUUUAAGCGUGUAGGCUGGUUUUCCAGGCAAAUCCGGAAAAUCAAGGCUGAGGCGUGAUGACGAGGCACUACGGUGCUGAAGCAACAAAUGCCCUGCUUCCAGGAAAAGCCUCUAAGCAUCAGGUAACAUCAAAUCGUACCCCAAACCGACACAGGUGGUCAGGUAGAGAAUACCAAGGCGCUUGAGAGAACUCGGGUGAAGGAACUAGGCAAAAUGGUGCCGUAACUUCGGGAGAAGGCACGCUGAUAUGUAGGUGAAGUCCCUCGCGGAUGGAGCUGAAAUCAGUCGAAGAUACCAGCUGGCUGCAACUGUUUAUUAAAAACACAGCACUGUGCAAACACGAAAGUGGACGUAUACGGUGUGACGCCUGCCCGGUGCCGGAAGGUUAAUUGAUGGGGUUAGCGCAAGCGAAGCUCUUGAUCGAAGCCCCGGUAAACGGCGGCCGUAACUAUAACGGUCCUAAGGUAGCGAAAUUCCUUGUCGGGUAAGUUCCGACCUGCACGAAUGGCGUAAUGAUGGCCAGGCUGUCUCCACCCGAGACUCAGUGAAAUUGAACUCGCUGUGAAGAUGCAGUGUACCCGCGGCAAGACGGAAAGACCCCGUGAACCUUUACUAUAGCUUGACACUGAACAUUGAGCCUUGAUGUGUAGGAUAGGUGGGAGGCUUUGAAGUGUGGACGCCAGUCUGCAUGGAGCCGACCUUGAAAUACCACCCUUUAAUGUUUGAUGUUCUAACGUUGACCCGUAAUCCGGGUUGCGGACAGUGUCUGGUGGGUAGUUUGACUGGGGCGGUCUCCUCCUAAAGAGUAACGGAGGAGCACGAAGGUUGGCUAAUCCUGGUCGGACAUCAGGAGGUUAGUGCAAUGGCAUAAGCCAGCUUGACUGCGAGCGUGACGGCGCGAGCAGGUGCGAAAGCAGGUCAUAGUGAUCCGGUGGUUCUGAAUGGAAGGGCCAUCGCUCAACGGAUAAAAGGUACUCCGGGGAUAACAGGCUGAUACCGCCCAAGAGUUCAUAUCGACGGCGGUGUUUGGCACCUCGAUGUCGGCUCAUCACAUCCUGGGGCUGAAGUAGGUCCCAAGGGUAUGGCUGUUCGCCAUUUAAAGUGGUACGCGAGCUGGGUUUAGAACGUCGUGAGACAGUUCGGUCCCUAUCUGCCGUGGGCGCUGGAGAACUGAGGGGGGCUGCUCCUAGUACGAGAGGACCGGAGUGGACGCAUCACUGGUGUUCGGGUUGUCAUGCCAAUGGCACUGCCCGGUAGCUAAAUGCGGAAGAGAUAAGUGCUGAAAGCAUCUAAGCACGAAACUUGCCCCGAGAUGAGUUCUCCCUGACUCCUUGAGAGUCCUGAAGGAACGUUGAAGACGACGACGUUGAUAGGCCGGGUGUGUAAGCGCAGCGAUGCGUUGAGCUAACCGGUACUAAUGAACCGUGAGGCUUAACCUU
rnacentral:rRNA from 1 species